UACGAAGGGGGCUAGCGUUGUUCGGAAUUACUGGGCGUAAAGCGCACGUAGGCGGAUCGAUCAGUCAGGGGUGAAAUCCCAGGGCUCAACCCUGGAACUGCCUUUGAUACUGGCGAUCUGGAGUAUGGAAGAGGUGAGUGGAAUUCCGAGUGUAGAGGUGAAAUUCGUAGAUAUUCGGAGGAACACCAGUGGCGAAGGCGGCAUCCUGGACCAACACUGACGCUGAGUGAGCGAAAGCCAGGGGAGCAAACGGG
rnacentral:rRNA from 1 species